UACGUAGGGGGGCGAGCGUUGUCCGGAUUUAUUGGGCGUAAAGAGCUCGUAGGCGGUUUGGUAAGUCGGGUGUGAAAUCUCCACGCUCAACGUGGAGGGGCCACUCGAUACUGCCAUGACUCGAGUCCGGUAGAGGAGUGUGGAAUUCCCGGUGUAGCGGUGAAAUGCGCAGAUAUCGGGAGGAACACCCGUAGCGAAGGCGGCACUCUGGGCCGGAACUGACGCUGAGGAGCGAAAGCGUGGGGAGCGAACAGG
rnacentral:rRNA from 1 species